rnacentral:rRNA from 1 species
UAUCUCUGUAGAGUCUGCAUAUCAAUAAGCGGAGGAAAAGAAACUAACUAGGAUUCCCUCAGUAACGGCGAGUGAAGCGGGAAGAGCUCAAAUUUGAAAUCUUCAAGGUUUACCUUGACGAAUUGUAGUUUAAAGAAGUGUUUUCUGUUGGAGUUUUGGUAAAAGUUCUUUGGAAUAGGACAUCAUAGAGGGUGAGAAUCCCGUAUUUGACCAUUAUUUCCAACUUUGUGAUACACUUUCAAAGAGUCGGAUUGUUUGGGAAUGCAGUCCAAAAUGGGUGGUAAAUUUCAUCUAAAGCUAAAUACUGGCGAGAGACCGAUAGCGAACAAGUACCGUGAGGGAAAGAUGAAAAGAACUUUGAAAAGAGAGUUAAACAGUACGUGAAAUUGUCAAAAGGGAAGCGUUUGACACCAGUGUUGUUUUCUCGAAAAUCAAUUAAAAAAGAUUGGAUUUUGUGUUGUAUUGACUUUAUCAGCUUUCUGCACUCUUUUCUUGUCUUUUUUAAUGCACUUUUCGUUUAACAAGUCAACAUCAAUUUCUUUUGUUGUAAAAGGGUCAUUGGAAGGUGGCUUUCUUUUCGGAGAAAGUGUUUAUAGCCUUUGGCUUCUGCAAUCGGAGAGAUUGAGGUCUGCAGCGUAGAUCCUUCGGGGUUAGAUGCAUUUGUGCUAAGUUAUAGCCUUUCAUAGACAACUUGUUGACUAUGAUCAGUCAUGUAGCUUACUCGCUUAUGUCAUUUUACCUACGCUUAGGAUGUUGAUCUCUCACAGUCGAGC